UACGUAGGGUGCAAGCGUUAAUCGGAAUUACUGGGCGUAAAGCGUGCGCAGGCGGUUGUGCAAGACAGAGGUGAAAUCCCCGAGCUUAACUUGGGAACUGCCUUUGUGACUGCAUAGCUAGAGUGUGUCAGAGGGGGGUAGAAUUCCACGUGUAGCAGUGAAAUGCGUAGAGAUGUGGAGGAAUACCGAUGGCGAAGGCGGCUCUCUGGAACGGUACUGACGCUGAGACGCGAAAGCGUGGGGAGCGUACAGG
rnacentral:rRNA from 1 species